rnacentral:rRNA from 1 species
UUUUUCUGUUGUGACCUCUGUGCUCCAUAUCGGGACAGAGUGUAUCAGCAUAAUUUUUUGUGGGGCAUAUUCUUGCUUGGUGCUUGGGGAUAUUUGAGGCAUAUUUGUGUCCGUCGUUUUUAGGCCAGCUUGCUGGUACCCAAACGGUGUUCGCAUUUUUUGUCUGGCACAUUUGAGUAGGGCUCAGGCGUAUUUAUGGGACAGAUGUGAGUGUAAGUCACGGUCGCAUGCGACACGUGCUUUUCAAUUAGUUGGGUCCAGUUAAUGCUUUGGUACUCGUUCCCCAUGUAAAAGCCGGUCAUUUAUCCGACCCGUCUUGAAACACGGACCAAGGAGUUUAUCGUGUGCGCAAGUUUUUGGGUGUUAAAAACUUAAAAGCGAAAUGAAAGUAAAUGACUCUUUAGAGUUUGAUGUGCGAUCUUGUAAAAAAGUGUAGCAUGGCCCCAUUCUAACUGUUUACAGUAGGGUGGAGGAAGAGCGUACGCGGUGAGACCCGAAAGAUGGUGAACUAUUCCUGAGCAGGACGAAGCCAGAGGAAACUCUGGUGGAAGUCCGAAGCGGCUCUGACGUGCAAAUCGAUCUUCUG